AUGACGAACACUGCCUUGGUUGUUUUGAUCUUGAUUCUUACAGAUUCUGUGCAGGGGAACUGGAUUGCAGCUAAAGAAUCACAUAUGUCUUCAAUGGAAGGGAAGAAUGUAAUUCUCUGGUGUUCUUACAACACAGCUGAAGAACAAAUUAUUCUUCACUGGUAUCGCCAGUAUGUUGGCCAGGGUCUAGAGUAUAUUCUACAGAGAGGAGCAAAAUCAUUUUAUUUAAUUAAGGAUGAUGCAGAUAAUGCAAAGAAGCGAUUUUUCUCAGGGACCACAUCAAACUCCACAUUUUUAUCCAUCUCAGACUUGAGUUUCAGAGACUCUGCAACCUACUACUGUGCUCUGGACUUGGCACAGUGA